CAACUAGGGGACUUUUGUCCCGAAUAUGCAGUUUGUCAGAGGUCAUUCAGUGUAACGGGAUCAGGAAACCAUUUUGAAAUUAAAUAAACAAACAAUAGUCAUCAAGCAGUCUGUGACAUCAUCAAAAGGCUCCCUGAAGACCAUGUGGUGAUUCAGCAAGAUGCCCACAAACAAAAAGUUUCUAGGCACUGGCAGAAAGUUAAUGCAGACCCAGUAGCUAGGGCAAUGCAUUUAGCAAGGAGACGAGAAAGCAACCAGAGAAGAAAGCAAGCUGCCUUGGCUGCAAAUCCUGAUCACCCGUCAAUCAGGAAUUUAUCAGAUGCUGCAGCUGAGAAGAGGCAAAAGCAAUGGCGGGAAAAUCAAAGUAAACACAGGGCUGAAGCUAAACGUAUAAGGGCAGUUCUGGAUCUUAUUAUACAGUAUUACCACCUGUUCAGUUAAUUUUUACGAAUAUGAUAUGUAUUGUGGAAUAAAAUGAUUAUUCAUUUCAGCAACUACUUCUGUGAUUUGUUUAGGAAUAAAAUGAUACAGAAUAAUAUUCAAAACAUUGCAAUAAUGGAAACAAUGACACUUUUGUCAAAAUGUCAUUCAGUGUAACAAACCAUGGUCAUUCGGUGUAACAGAUAUAUUUAUGUAGAAAUGAAACAAUAUACUUAUUCUGAGCUGUACUUAUUAAAAUAUGUAAAAUAAUGUGUGAUCCUACAAAAAUUUUAUUUGAUUUGAAUUGAUUUUCACUUCCUUACAAAAACUUCUUGCUGACAAAUGGGUAAAACCUAAUGGUUUAAAGGAUAUUGACGAUGUAAAAUGCUUUAAUAUGACAAAUAGUUAGUAUUUGGUGUCUGCACUGUGAUCUAUAAAUAGAGUCUUGUAAUGUGUCAUCAAAUAAUAGUUUUUCUAAAAAUGUCUGAUUAUAUUUUUUUGCAUAAAAAUAUUGUUACACUGAAUGACAUUUUAGUUGGUGUCUUCUGUACAAUCCCAGUAAAAAUGUAUGGUAGUAAUUAUUUUUUGCUCAGAAAAACAUAAAGUUAAACAGGACAUAUUCUAAUGUAUGUGAAAAAGACUAAAUUUAAAGCUCUUUUACACUUUUAUUUUUUUUAUGCUUUAAACCCCCUUUUCGUC